rnacentral:rRNA from 1 species
UUGUGGGGACCUUCCACGGUCUCUGCGACGCAGCUAACGCAUUAAGCGCCCCGCCUGGGGAGUACGAUCGCAAGAUUAAAACUCAAAGGAAUUGACGGGGCCCCGCACAAGCAGCGGAGCAUGCGGCUUAAUUCGACGCAACGCGAAGAACCUUACCAAGGCUUGACAUAUAGGGAAAAGCGGCAGAGAUGUCGUGUCCGCAAGGGCUCUAUACAGGUGGUGCAUGGUUGUCGUCAGCUCGUGUCGUGAGAUGUUGGGUUAAGUCCCGCAACGAGCGCAACCCUCGUUCUGUGUUGCCAGCAUUUAGUUGGGGACUCACAGGAGACUGCCGGGGUUAACUCGGAGGAAGGUGGGGAUGACGUCAAAUCAUCAUGCCCCUUAUGUCUUGGGCUGCACGCAUGCUACAAUGGCCGAUACAAAGGGCUGCAAUACCGCAAGGUGGAGCGAAUCCCAAAAAGUCGGUCUCAGUUCGGAUUGAGGUCUGCAACUCGACCUCAUGAAGUCGGAGUUGCUAGUAAUCGUAGAUCAGCAACGCUACGGUGAAUACGUUCCCGGGGCUUGUACACACCGCCCGUCACGUCACGAAAGUCGGUAACACCCAAAGUCAGUGGCCCAACCGCAAGGAGG